rnacentral:misc_RNA from 1 species
UACGUAGGGUGCGAGCGUUGUCCGGAAUUAUUGGGCGUAAAGAGCUCGUAGGCGGUUUGUCGCGUCGGCCGUGAAAACCUACAGCUUAACUGUGGGCGUGCGGUCGAUACGGGCAGACUUGAGUUCGGUAGGGGAGUCUGGAAUUCCUGGUGUAGCGGUGAAAUGCGCAGAUAUCAGGAGGAACACCGGUGGCGAAGGCGGGACUCUGGGCCGAUACUGACGCUGAGGAGCGAAAGCGUGGGGAGCGAACAGG